UUUCGAUGUGGAAAGGCACUACAGUUCCAGCAGUACCAAAUAAUUGACUUGUAUUAAAUAACUGUUUGUUCAGUCAUUAGAAGUGCAAUAAAGACAUUUCACAGGAAGGGCUAAACUCAUGCAUAUGGUCAUAUUUAGACCUUUGGAUUGUGAUUUUAAAACAUAUCUUUUGAGUCGUAGUACAGUUUUUUCUUACAUGUGUGUAUUGCACUGGGAUGGCCAAUGGAUAAAUACAUUAAAACUCAUUUUCAAAUAAAAAAAA